rnacentral:rRNA from 1 species
UACGGGAGGCAGCAGUGGGGAAUAUUGCACAAUGGGCGCAAGCCUGAUGCAGCCAUGCCGCGUGUAUGAAGAAGGCCUUCGGGUUGUAAAGUACUUUCAGUCGUGAGGAAGGUGUUAAGGUUAAUAACCUUAGCAAUUGACGUUAGCGACAGAAGAAGCACCGGCUAACUCCGUGCCAGCAGCCGCGGUAAUACGGAGGGUGCGAGCGUUAAUCGGAAUUACUGGGCGUAAAGGGCACGCAGGCGGUUAAUAGUUGGAUGUGAAUCCCCGGGCUUAACCUGGGAAUGGCAUUCAAGACUGGUUAGCUAGAGUCUUGUAGAGGGGGUGAAUUCCAUGUGUAGCGGUGAAAUGCGUAGAGAUGUGGAGGAAUACCGGUGGCGAAGGCGGCCCCUGGGACAAAGACUGACGCUCAUGUGCGAAAGCGUGGGGAGCAAACAGGAUUAGAUACC